rnacentral:rRNA from 1 species
GCGCGCCCUUCGGGGUGAGCGGCGGACGGGUUAGUAACGCGUGGGAAUAUGCCCAAAGGUACGGAAUAGCCUCUGGAAACGGAGAGUAAUACCGUAUGUGCCCUUCGGGGGAAAGAUUUAUCGCCUUUGGAUUAGCCCGCGUUAGAUUAGGUAGUUGGUGGGGUAAUGGCCUACCAAGCCUACGAUCUAUAGCUGGUUUUAGAGGAUGAUCAGCAACACUGGGACUGAGACACGGCCCAGACUCCUACGGGAGGCAGCAGUGGGGAAUCUUGGACAAUGGGCGCAAGCCUGAUCCAGCCAUGCCGCGUGAGUGAUGAAGGCCUUAGGGUCGUAAAGCUCUUUCGCCAGGGAUGAUAAUGACAGUACCUGGUAAAGAAACCCCGGCUAACUCCGUGCCAGCAGCCGCGGUAAUACGGAGGGGGUUAGCGUUGUUCGGAAUUACUGGGCGUAAAGCGCGCGUAGGCGGAUCGGAAAGUUGGGGGUGAAAUCCCGGGGCUCAACCCCGGAACUGCCUCCAAAACUAUCGGUCUAGAGUUCGAGAGAGGUGAGUGGAAUUCCGAGUGUAGAGGUGAAAUUCGUAGAUAUUCGGAGGAACACCAGUGGCGAAGGCGGCUCACUGGCUC